rnacentral:rRNA from 1 species
AGGACGAACGCUGGCGGCGUGCUUAACACAUGCAAGUCGAGCGGUGAUCCUCCUUCGGGAGGUGAUCAGCGGCGAACGGGUGAGUAACACAUGGGCAACCUGCCCCUCACACUGGGAUAACCUCGGGAAACCGGGGCUAAUACCGGAUACGACCUCGAGCGGCAUCUCUUGAGGUGGAAAGCUCCGACGGUGAGGGAUGGGCCCGCGGCCUAUCAGCUUGUUGGUGGGGUAAUGGCCUACCAAGGCGACGACGGGUAGCCGGCCUGAGAGGGCGACCGGGCCACGACUGGGACUGAGACACGGCCCAGACUCCUACGGGAGGCAGCAGUGGGGAAUAUUGCGCAAUGGGCGAAAGCCUGACGCAGCGACGCCGCGUGAGGGAUGAAGGCCUUCGGGUUGUAAACCUCUUUCAGCAGGGACGAAGCGAAAGUGACGGUACCUGCAGAAGAAGCACCGGCUAACUACGUGCCAGCAGCCGC